rnacentral:rRNA from 1 species
UGGGGAAUUUUCCACAAUGGGCGAAAGCCUGAUGGAGCAAUACCGCGUGAGGGAGGAAGCAUCGUGGUGUGUAAACCUCUUUUCUUAAGGAAGAAUACUGACGGUACUUAAGGAAUAAGCACCGGCUAACUCCGUGCCAGCAGCCGCGGUAAUACGGAGGGUGCAAGCGUUGUCCGGAAUAAUUGGGCGUAAAGAAUCUGUAGGUGGUUUCGAAAGUCAACUGUCAAAUCCCAGAGCUCAACUUUGGACAGGCAGUUGAGCACUUCAAAACUCGAGUAUGGUAGGGGUAGAGGGAAUUCCUAGUGGAGCGGUGAAAUGCACAGAGAUUAGGAAGAACACCAGUGGCGAAAGCGCUCUACUGGGCCAUGACUGACACUGAGAGAUGAAAGUUGGGGGAGCG